CAAAUCCUGCAGUCCAUCCAUUUGUGCUGUCUCAUAGAUCCAUACAUCUUUGGGAAAAAGAGCAGAAAUCAAGUCCAUCUCAUUUACAUAUAUGGAAAUGGAUGGUAUGAAUUAAAACGAAUCAGAACAUGAUGAUUCAUCAGAAAGUCGAUAAAUUAAAAGGUCACUCAUUUCUCCAAAAGAUUUUGAGGUUGCUUUGCAGUUCUUCUGGGCUUAAUCUUCUCUAUUAAAUGAUCUCUGUGUCUACACAAUUGUUAAGUAAAUAGCACUCAGGGUAAUGAACUCUUGAUAUUAAUUCUCUUAUGGAUUUUUGCCCUGGAUUUUUCUGGUCAUUUGAUUCUCACCUAGAUGAGAGACCCUGACUUCCACUGCUGUCUUUCUCGAGAAGUUUAUCUUAGGGAUAAAAUGUGGAGAACAGAGAGACAUGAUGUAAAGUGACUAAACACUCAGCUCUCAAACUGGGGACAAGCCACUUGAAAUUUCUAAGCCUGUGUUUCUAUCUGUGAGAUAGGGAUAAUAUCAGUACCUAUGACAUAGAGUUAUUGUGAGAAUUAAAAGACAACGUGUUUGAAGCACUUAACAGAGCAACUGGAAGGCAGUAUAAAUGAAAAUCAAAGACAGGUUAAGAAAACAACUUGAUAAAAUAUUGCCUGUGCCUACACAUACAAAUUCAGAUGAACAGACGUCGGAGUAUUUCAUAUUUUUUUUCCUUCUUUAGCUCCACGACCUCCCUCCACAUAAAAGCCCAUUCUUUCCAUCAACAAGCAAACAAACAAAAUUAUCCCUGAGUUCUCAUUAAACAGUCAGCAUGUUUCUCUAAAUGUAAACUCCUUUUUAUUUAAUUUUAGCAUUGGGGGAAGUGUUGUGAGAAAUGUUCAGAUAACAUACUGAACAUAAGAGAACAGGAAAAUUCAUUUUUCUAUUCUUGAAAAAGAAUAGAAAUUUUUCAAGAAUAGAAACUUGAAAGAAUUGAAACUUGAAAUUGGUUGAAUGGAAUAUAACUUCAUCAUCAUCAUCAUCAGUUACGAACAUUUACUGAGCGUCUAUCAUGUAUAGGGG
rnacentral:lncRNA from 1 species